GAAGACCAAGUCAAUCUACUUUGUAAUCUCAUCAAUCUUAAUUUUUUCAGUUGUUUAGGGAGUUCAAAUGAAAUACAAAAUUUUGAAAAAAAAAUGUAUCCAAUUUUGUGAAUGAAAAAUUUAUGGUAAAAAGGAUUUGGUAUGGAUACUUCAGCCCGGGUAGCAAUACUCAGGGUAAGUUUAUCAAUACAUUGCUUUUGGUUGGAAAGUGGUGUUGAUAGGUUAUGGAUGCGGGGUAGUGUUUGGAAUGGCCAAAAUAUAGCAAUCGCAUCAGUGGAUGAAGAAGGAUCUAGUUGGUGCAAAUGAAGUUAAAGCAUUUCUGCCGUCUCUUCAUAAUUUCUUGUUUGGUAGUCUGUCAGAAAGUUUUUCCUAUGGUGAAAAGUUUGAGUUGCAUUUAUAAAAUUUCCACUGUCAAAAGAUUCGAUUGCACUGCAGGGUAACAUAUUUAAGAUUGGAUUACACUGUCAAAAGAUUGCAGCAACGAUGAGAUUAAUCCAAUUACAGGAAUUGGUAUCCUAAAUGGCUUUUUGGUACGUAGCUUCAUUGACGGUACAAACUAGUUAAAAUUUCCAGCAUUCAUGUGUUUGUUUUCCCUCAAGUAAACGUAGUCAAUACUGCAAAUGGUGUGGAAGUACUGUACAUUGUGGCCCAAAUGUCCAAAAUUUCCACAUUGCAUGUAAAUUAAGUUUGCGUGAGAGAGAUAGGAGGAAGCAACAGCAAGUGUGAAGUCAAUAGACAACUGAUAGUCUUAGUCUUUUUUUGUCGAGUUAAAGUGUAGUCAAUAGACAAUUGAUAGUCUUAGCCCUUUUUGUGGAGUUAAAAGUAUAGUCAAUAAACAAUUGAUAGUUAAAUUUGUAGCAUUCUUCUUCCUCUUUAUUCUUUUGUGUGGAAAAUUAUUUGGGACCAAACUUGACGUGUUAUAAGGAAGAAGACUUUGUAAUCUCAUGAAUGUUAAUUAUUUUACUUCUUUGGUAAAAAAAGUAACCAAUUUUAUGAAUGAAAAAUAUUAUGUGGUAAAAAGGAAGUAGUUGUUCAUCACUAACAAUAUGAUGAUUGUGGAAAUACAAAAAAUCCCAUAUAUGUGUUGAAUUCUGCAUAAUAUAAAUGUCCUGCAUUGCAUGUGAAUUCUGCAAUAGACCAAACUUUACGUGUUAUAGUCCUUUAAACUGAGUUAAUGAAAAGUAACCAUUCUUAUCAAAUUUAGUUAUACUCUUAAUUUAUAACAAAGGAAAGAGUAAUUUGAGUUUAACUCAAAGGUUAAUAUGUCAUCAAUGGGUGAUGGCGUGGCGCUACCAUGUCAGCGAUUAUUUUCUUCUUUGAAUUAAGGUGAUUUCACCAAUUUUAGUUUACUUUUUUACUUCAAUUUAGGUUUAUGCUUAUUAGCUUCAAAGAUUCUAAGUGGGUGCCACAAUCAAAGGGUGAGUAAAAAGGGUUAAAAAUGAUUUUUUUAAAAUUUUUUAUUUUUAUUAAAAAUUUAGAAUUAGAAUUAGACAAAUUUUGUAAAAGUUAAGGGCUAACUUUAUUGAUUUUUUUUUUCAGAAUUCGAACUAAAAUUACAUUUUGUAAAAAGAGCUAAAUUUGUUGAGUUUUUUAUAUUUAGGAUCAAAUUGAUAGAAUGUGUAAAUAUUAGAGGUUAAAUUUGUUAUUAGAUCAAUAAAAAAACCCACAUUAGCUUUGCGUCACUCAUCUAACGACAACUAAAGGGAGAGUUAUUAAAAUAUUUAAUUUCAAAAAGUUUAGCAACUAAAUUGGAAAAUUUAAUAGUUGGGUGACUAUUUUUGCAGUUUACUACUUUUUUGGUCACCUGACUAUUAAGUGACACUUUUUAGUUGGUAUAAUAAUAAUUUUAGUCCUCAAUUUUUAUACUUUCUGUCAAUUUGACUCUGAUUAUAUAAAAUGAUUACAAAAGUGAAAUUCUUUUUAAAAUUUACAAAAUUCUAAAAAUUAAAAAUUAAAUGAAAGUAGAUAAAAAUUUCAAAUAUAAACAAAGUGAGAGAAAAUGAGGGAAAUAUUAUUUUUAAACCCUCCAACUUUUCUUUGUAUUAUCGUAAAGAAAUAUCUAAUAUCCAUUCUUUUAGAAAACAUAGAAAAAAGUAAAAAAAAAAAAGAUUAAGUAAAAUUAUCUGUAUAUAAUCUGCUUUUAUAAUUUGGGUUUUUAAAAAUAAAUUUAAAUGAAUUGAAAAUUCGAAUUGAGUUUGAAAAAUAAAAUUUUGUGGUAUAUUUUAUAUUUUUGCUAGAAAAAUGGCAUCAAAGUUGAUUUUGUAAGCUUUUGUAAUAUCAGUUACGGAUGUUCUUCAAGGGCAUGGAACUCAACUUGAAAAUUUUACUAAUUUGGUUGCAAAAAAACAUUGAGGAAGCAUAUAAUGAUCUAACCUUUUUUGUUUUGUUUUGUUUUUAAUUUGUUAUGGGAUUCUAUUGAAUGAUAAUUUUUUUUUAUUUCCCAUACAUAUUAGUUCUUCAAAAACAACAUAUUCGAGAUUUUAUUUUUCUAGAAUUUUUAUAUAGAAGUUUAUAUUUUUUAAAAUAAAUUUGAGUUUUUUUUAGAAUUUUUAUAUAGAAUCGAGGUAAAUUGGCAAAAAAAAUUAUAAAAACAAAAUACUAAAAUUGUUAUUAUAGCAACUAAAAAGUGUCAUUUAACAAUAGGGUGACCAAAUUGUAACUUUUUUAGUUAAGUGACCAAAACGAAGAUUUACCCAUAGUUUAGUGGCUAAUUAUGUAGUUUACCCUUUCAUAAUUAAAAAAUAGUUGUUAAGUUUUUCUUGUAUUAGAUAACAAUUUAGAUGGUAAAAACCCUCUUUAGUCCCUCUCAAUUUUGAUAUUAAGUAAAAUUGUCCAUUUAAAAAAAAAAUCAAAGCAAUUUAAUAUUUGUUAAUUUCGAAAGUGAGCAACUAAGGACAAUUAAUCACAAUGUCAAUAUUUUCCAUCAAUUGUACAUAUUUUUAUUGGUGUAAUAACAAAUUUAGCUCUCAAAGUUUACACAUUCUGUCAAUUUAGUCUUGAUUUAACAAAUUUAACCCGCAACAAUUACAUAUUCUAUUAACAUUGACACAUAAUAUAUAAACAUUGAGAGCUUAAUUUUUUAUUGUAUCAAUAAAAAUUAUGUACAAUUUACAUAAAGCAUUAACACAAUGAUUAAUUGUCCUUAGUUGCUCCCUUUCAAAAUUGAUCAUGAUUAAAUUGCUCUAAUUUUCUGAGAGGAACCAAUUUGUUCAAUAUAGAAAUUGAGAGGGACGAGAAAUGUGUUUUUUAUCCAUUUUAGAUACCAACAAGUGUUUGGCAUAGUCGCAAGACAUAUUACAUUCUCAAGGAGAGAAUGCGUAGUCAAACGUUGGAGAUAUCAAUGUUGUGUGGGGUAUCCAAGGAUCUCGAACACGAACUGUAAAACAUAUAUAAAGAAUAAAAAAAUAACAUCUUAAUUUAAAUAAUUAUAAAUUUUAAUUUGAAAAAAGUAUUUUGAGAAACAUAAGUUUUAGAAGUAGUAAAAUUGAAUCGAUAAAACAUGUCCAUUAUAUCAGAAUCAUAAAAAUACAACUUAAUUAAUUUGAAUUUAAACUUAACUCAACUCGACUUGAUUAUAAAAACUGAUAAUUUGAAUUCAAAAUGACAUGAUCUUGAAAUGAUUUGAAUUAAUUGUCAGACCCGAACGACAAAACUCGAAAUGAUGCAAUCCAAAAACACAAAUCAAGUGAACUAAACUACGAAAAAAAAAACCUUACACUGACUCAAAUCCAAAAUAGUUUAAUCCUAAAAUAACCUAAAUUUUAUAUAAUAAAAACUCGAAAUAACCCGAAAAUUUUUAAAUUAAAAUUGAUCCGACCCAAAUUCACACCACCUAAAAUCAAUCGUAACCACCUAAUUAAAAAGCAUGAAAUGAAAUGAUGUAAAGAGAAAAUCAGAGAAAACCAAAUAGAAAGUAACAAGCCUUUUUCAGAAUUGAAAGCAAAUUCCGUACAUUCACGACAUGCAUAAAACAACAAUGGUUUAUAGAAUUUGAGUUUUAGUCCCUGUACUUUAAAAGUUAAUUUUUCUUAAUUUAAAAACUUUAGUUUAAUCAUUUAUGUUGGUUGUAGUUUCCGUUAGCUUAAUCAACAUGUUAAAUUACUAAAUUUUGACAAAAAAUACUUACGAGUUUAAUGAUUGUACCGAGAUUUUUAAAUAAAAAAGUCGGAAGACUAAUUUCUAACCUUUUAAAUAUAGGGACUAAAAGCAUCUUUUAACUUUGAUAUUAUUAUUAUAAGCAGGGAUAAUGUCACCUUUGGCAUCUGUACUUUCAUAAAAUGUCUAGUGGUACAAGUACUUUGAAAAUAUAUAAUGUGGUACCUGAACUAUCAAUAGGUGUUAUUAUUAUGGUACAUGUACUUUGAAAAUGUUUAAUGUGGUACCUAAACUAUCAAUAUAUAUUUUAUUAUGAUACUUGAUAAAGACGGACUAUGGUGGCUUAGGGGGCUCUUUGUCCCGCCACCCUUGCAAAAAAAAAAAAAAUCGAAGAAUUUUGUUUUUUCCUUUAAAAUUUUUAGAAAAUUUCAAUUAGGCCCUCAAAAUUUUUGAAAAUUUUCAUUAUACCUUUUAAUUUUUUUGAAAAUUUUAAUUAAGCACUCUUAAAUUUUGAAAAUUCUCAUUGAUCUCACAAAAAUUUUAAAAUUUUUUAUUAGACCCCCAAUUUUUUUAAAAAAAAUCUUAUUAAACCAUUAAAUUUUUAGCAAAUUUUACCUGCCCCCUCCCCCCCAAAAAAACCUAGUCCCAACUACUAGUAUCCGCCAUUGUUACUUGGUAUUAACACUGUUAGAAAAUUGCUAAAUCAACCAAUAAAAAUUUGACACAUAGAACCCUUUUUUUAAUUAUCAAGUCCACGUGGAUAAUAUAAUAGUGAAAAAAUAAAUAAAAAAUAAUUAAAUGAAAUUAAAAAACAAAUAACUAAACAUAUGGUUAAUAAAAAAAAACCCAUACUUUCAAAGAUAAUAAAAAAUAUUAUUUAAAAAUCAAUUGAAAAUAUUAUUUUAAAAGGAAAACUCUUUGAAGAAGAUGAUCAUUUGCUUAAAUGGAGAAUAUAAUAUUUUUGGUUAUGUAAGUUUAGUAUUUACUUCUUUUUUAUUAAUCAUAUGUUUAGUUUUUUUUUUAAUUAAUUUAAUUGUUUUAUUUAGUUUUUCACAUAAUGUUAUUUUACACAUGCGGACUUGAUGAAUUAGAAAAAAAAUAUUAUGUGUCAAAUUUUCAUUGGUUGGUCUAAUAAUUCAUUAACGGUGGAUUUGUUCUACAUUGAUGACAAAGAUGUGGAGUUUAAAGAAGUAAGAACUUAUCAACAAUAUUCGAGGUUCUGUUAUAUGUUACCUUAUUAAAAAAGUCAUCACUUAAAUUCUUCUAUGUUGCCUUAUGUAUGUAGGUUCUUGAGUCACCUUUGCCAAAAGCACCGCUUGAUACAUCUGUUACAUCCCACUGGCUUGCGAUUGAAGGCAUUCAACCAGCAAUUCCAGAAAAUGCUUCAAUUGAAGGUACCGUCUUAGCUAACCUAAAUAUUCUCUCGAAGCUAUUUGUGUUGAAGACUCUCAUGGUUCAUGUUCUUUUCUGGUUUUAUCACUUUAAUCUAAUACGACUUAUCGUCAUUUCUACACGGAAUUUGUAUUUUGCUUUCCAUGCAGCACCUUCUGAUGGUAAAAAGGCUGAAUACAAAAAAGAUGGGCUUUCCGUUGAUGUCAAAUUACCUGUUAAGCAUGUAUUAUCUAGAGAGCUUCAAGUAUGUUGUACAUCUUCAGCAACAUUUUUCUGUUAAAAUACAUUUUGCACAGAAUGAUAUUAAAAGACUAAUUUGGUUGUCAUGCAGCUUUACUUUGACAAGAUCGUGGACAUUACCAUGAAUAAAUCAGUCUCAAUUCUCUUUAAACAAGCAUUACUGAGUUUGGCAACAGACUCGGGAUUACAUCCUUUAGUUCCUUAUUUUACAUAUUUUUGCGGAUAUCUCAUACCUGAUUAUAUAUGUGUGUUGCAAAGAACUUUUGGUUGGUUAUCUCGAGCUUACAUUUUUGCCACAUUUAUCUCAGGUUGCACGGAGUAAUUUCCCUCUCAUGUUUGCUUUGAUGCGUGUUGCCCGGAGUCUUCUCCAGAAUGAACACUUACACAUAGAACCUUACUUGAGUUUAUUAUUUCAAUCAUUUAGAAGUACACGAACUAAUGCAAAUAUGCUAGUGGUUUAUUUUCCACCUAUCUGAUUUUUUAAAAUGUUCUUCAGUUACACCAGUUGAUGCCAUCUAUUAUUACCUGCCUCGUUGCAAAAAGGUUAGGAAAUAAAUUCACCGACAAUCAUUGGGAACUUAGAAACUUCGCAGCAAAGCUAGUGGCAUCAUUAUGCAAAAGGUGAGGAUUUCUUUUCUUUUGGACUUAUACAUGCAUAUUCGUUUUUAUGAAUCUCAGGUGUCUGAUUUUUUAGUUAUAAACUUGGAUCUAUUCUUCAAAUCAUGUGUAUAUCAUUUUUAUGCUAUUUCACACAUGCAAAACAAAUGGUGCGAGCGUGCAUGUUAUAUGCAGAAUGCAUAGAUUAAUUACAUGUGGAUCAUUAAGCAUGCCUAUGUUUGACCAUUGUGUGUGGCUACUUUUUUUUACAUGAUCCAAUUUUCGAUAUGCUUUGCUUUUAGGUUGAAUGCGGAAAAGAUUAGAACUUAGUUUCCAGCAUAAUGAUUUGUCUUGGAUAUGCAGAUUUUUACAUGCAUUUCUUACAAGUCAAUAUUUUAUAGAUUUGGGCAUGUUUAUCACAAUCUUCAGCCACGUGUGACAAGGACACUGCUCCAUGCUUUUUUGGACCCAACGAAAACAUUUCCCCAGCAUUACGGAGCAAUUCAAGGGUUAGCAGCCCUUGGACCCAGUGUGGUAUAAUUCUAAUCUCAAAUAUUUACUAGCAACACAAUAAGAUACUUGUUUGUGGGAUCAACUGGUCAAAGAUAUUGCAAUGAUAGCCAUCUUUUUAAGCCCAUUUCUUUCAGAAAACUGUUUUGUCACUCUUUUCUGCAAGAUCCGAAGAAAGAAAGAACUUGGAAAUCUAUAGUCCAAAAGUGUAAAUAUGCGGUUUCUCUAUAGGUAUCUUUAUUAUGGCAUCUGUACAGUUUGUCUUUCAUAUGUUUGGCUAACGCUUCUUCUUCCAUGUGUAGGUUCGUUUACUUAUACUACCAAAUCUUGAAGCGUAUUUGCAGCUUCUUGAACCUGAAAUAAAAAGACACGAGGCCUGGUGUGUUUAUGGGGCCCUGCUGGUAAGUUCCACAUCAAAUUUGGUACCAGUUUAUGAGCAUCGUUUCAUUUAUUUGCUGUAGAACUAACAACACUGCAUAAAAUUUCCACUAACAGCGUGCAGCUGGACUGUGCAUGUAUGAUCGGCUUAAAAUGUUCCCCAGUUUGCUAGCACCCCCAACUCGUCCCGUUUGGAAAAGCAACAACAAAGUUGCGACAAGUAUGAUUUCUUCGAACCAUCAUAUUUACACUUAAUCCACAAGUCUCUUCUCCCCCUUUACGAUAUUCCUUUUUCUGAUCAACCAAGAUAAACGAAAAGCAAGCACGGACACCUUGAUGCAGCAGCAACAACCUGCCAAGAAAAUAGCAACUGAGAGUGCAAUAGGUAUGAUGCCAAUAAAUUCCAUGCAAGCUGAUUUACAAGGGUCAGUUAGCGGCUUUUCUACCACCGUAGGAGGUUCCAAUAUCGGUGUAUCAUCAAUGUCACGGCCGUUAUCAAACUAUAACAUGCUUGGAAGGGAGGCUGGGGGUCGAGUUUCAAAGACAUCAACCGUUCUAGCUCAGGCUUGGAAGGAAGACACAGACGCAGGGAACUUGUUAGCAUCAUUAUUUGAACUUUUUGGUGAAAGUAUGUUAUCAUUUACUCCCAAACCUGAGCUUUCAUUCUUCCUUUGAUUGAAUUUCACCUCCAAAAGCUAUAGUUUUUGAAGGAAUUUGUGUAAAUUAUCCCCAUAGUUUUUUUCAGUCUUACUGUGUUUAUCUUUAUAAGUCUUCUUUUUUUCCUUGCUCAUAAAUGUAUUGUAGUUAUCAGAAAAUAUAUUCUACUUUGGAUUUUGUUUAUAUUAAAUUUUAGGUUAAAUUCUGCUAUUAGUCUCUGUAUUUACGAAAAUGAUGGAUUUAGUCCUUAUACCUUAAUUUGAUCAAUUUUAGUCAUUGUAUUUUUUGAAUUGGUCAAUUUUAAACUAUUUACUUUUUGAAGUUUGAAAUUUUAGUCUUGAUCCAAAUAAUAAUAAUAAUUAAAUCUGCUUAUUUAAAUUCAAUUAUUAGUUUUGUAUUAUGUAGAUAGUUAUAAAUUUAGGGUGGGUUUGGAUGGGCUGUGCUUUUACCUGCAGUUAGUGUAAAAAUAGCGGCGGUGGUGAGAUUAGAUAUCCAAGGUACCUAAUUUUUAUUUUGGCCAUAAGUACUACUAAAACUAUUCUUCCGUUACCCAUUUUAUACCAAAAUGUUAUAUCGGCUAAAAAGAUUCCAACAAAUAAUAGAUUGUAUGUCAUAUAAACUUUUUUAAAAAAUCAUUAAUUAAUUAAUUUUUAUAUUUUUCUUUCUUAUUCCUUUAUAAUGUUUGACAAUGUCGAUAAUGCUUGAAAUUGGCCCACUUGAGGUCGAAACGCUGGUGAUUAAUUUUGGUUUUGAAUUUCACCACCUACUUCUCUGACCAGAGGGGAUAGAAAAAGUUCUUUCAUCGAUCAAAACUAGUAUUUUCAAAAACAGACUGAUUCUACGGGUUGGAUAGGAAAUCGGUUUGGAAAUAGGGGUUGAAUCGAUUGACUUGCGAGCAAAAACAAAUCGGUUGAACUAAGCUAAAAAAACUGGUUGAAUAAGUUCUCUCUUUUUAUAUAUAUAUAAAUAAUAAUAGGCUUUGUUUUUACUACAUGUCAAUUUUUAAUUGGUUAAUUUUUUUUUCAUAUAAAUUGAACAAUUUGACUAAUGACGGAGGUACCAAAUUAUAGUCUAGGUACCAAUUUAUGGGUUAAGCCUAUUUAUAAAAUAGACUUUUGACAGUUUGACUAAUGGCGGUAGUAACUUGGGAAAAAAAAGUAGUUUAUGUACCACUUGUGACAAAAAAUAAGAUUAGGUACCAACAUGGGAAAAUGAGUAUAAUUUAGAUACCGAUUUAUGAGUUAAGCCUAAUAUAUUUGUCGCAUAAUUUUUUGAAAAUAACAGAACUUAAUAAAUUUAACGGUUAUUGUUUGGUGAUUACUAAAAUUUUAAAAUUUGAAAAGUACAUGAACUAAAAAUGACCAAAUUAAAAUAUAAAUAUUAAGUCCACAACUUUUGCAAAGUACAAGGACUAAUUGCAGAAAUUAACCUAAAUUUCAUAUGGGUCAAUUACAAAAAUAAUCACUAAACUAUCCCUUUGGUUCUAUUCUAGUCACUCAACUAUAUAGGUGCUCAUGAGCUUGGCCAGGUCAGGCCUAAGUAAGGGUGAGCAUUCGAUUGAAUCGAAAAUAGGGUUUGGGAUAGAUGGGAGGGGAAUAAAAGUUUUAGGGGAAAAGUGGGAGGGAGUAAAAAUUUUGGGAGAAAAUAAAAGGUUUUGAGGGUUUUGGGGAGUAAAAUAUUGAGAAAAAAUAAAUAGGAGAGUAAAAUUUUGGUGGGAAAUGGAUUUUGGGUAGAUUGGGGGGUUGGGAGGGGAGGGGAGUAAAAGUUUUGGGGGGAAAGUGGGAAGGAGUAAAAGUUUUGAGGGAAAAGUAAAAAAGUUUGGGAGUUUGGGGUAAAAAUGUAAAAUAUUAUAGUUUGAUAUUCGAAUUAUUCGAAUUAUUCGAGUUAUUCGAAUUCGAAAACUCAACUCGAUUCGAACUCGAAAUUCGAAAAAAAAUUCGAGUUGAUUCGAAUAACUCGAUUCGUUUAACUCGAAAUUUGAAUUUUUUUCAAUUUUUUCGAGUCGAAUCGAGUUUUGCUCACCCCUAGUUGCAAGUGCAACUUGCGUGGUGGCUGCCAGAAGGACUGAAUCGUAAAUGUAGCAAAAGUUUUGGGGCAAAAAUGUAAUUUUGAGAAAGUUUAGGGUCAAAAUAUAAUUUUAAAAAAUAUUAAGGGUUAAAAUAUAAUUUUAUAAAAAUUUAAGGGUCAAAAUGAAAUUUUAGAAAAGUUCAGAGGUCAAAAUACAAUUUUUAAAUUUUUUUUAAAAAAAAAAACACGAAAUUAUUCCCACAAAAUUAAGUGAUUACACGUAACUUUUCAAUGUAAAAGAAAAAAAAGACUGUAACACCAAUGUUGUGGUGUUAUUUGUUGCCUAUAAAUACCAUUCCUAUUCUUCAUCUUCCUCUGCAAACAUAACAUGGCCCCCUAUCUCUUUCUCUGCCUAUUCCUCUUCUUUCCCCGUCUUUAUGCUUCUUUUUCUUCUUCAGGAUAUCAGUCCUGCUCUUCAUUAAUCCAGUUUAAGGACUCUUUUUCCAUAACAGAGGAUGCUUCUUCUGAUUGCAAUGAGAUUGCUGGCCUUAAAUCUUAUCCCAAGACAAAUUCAUGGAAGGAGGGUACAGAUUGCUGCUCAUGGGAUGGGGUCACUUGUGACCACCUAAAUGCUCAUGUUAUUGCCCUUGACUUGAGCUGCAGUUGGCUAUAUGGCAACUUCCCUUCCAAUACCACUCUCUUCCUUCUUCCUCACCUUCAAAAACUCAACCUUGCCUACAAUGAUUUUAAUCUUUCCAAAAUUCCAUCCGAGUUCGGUCGGUUUACAAGCCUAUUCUACCUCAACCUUUCCCAUACAGAGUUUGAAGGAGAAGUCCCAUCCCAAGUCUCCCACCUGUCAAAAUUGGUUUCACUUGAUCUCUCCUCUCGGAUUGAUUACUCUGGGCAAGUUACAAUUGACAAACAUGCUCUGGAGGGACUUGUUCACAACCUAACCGAGGUCAGACAUCUGUUUUUGGAUGGAAUGGACAUGUCUUCUGUUAAUGCUCAUGUCUUCAUGAAUCUAUCCUCUUCUCUAAGGUCUCUCAGUCUUGCUUAUUGUGAUUUGCAAGGAAAAUUCCUAAAAAACAUUAUUGAUUUGCCAAACCUCAAUCUCCUCAACUUGGGACGUAACCAAAACCUCAAUCUUGAUCCUUUGAAGUUCAAUCGGAGCAGCAAUCUCGAACAUUUGGAUCUGUCGUGGAUGUCCUUCUCUACAGAAUCCGUUAAUUCAGUUGAUAAUCUACAGGCCUUAAAGUACUUAGAUCUAUCAGGAAAUUCUUUCUUUCAAGGAUUGUCUGUCUCAAUCACAAAUUUAUCAUCUUUGGAGCAAUUGAUAAUUUCAGGCGCAAAUUUUUUUGGAGGAUUGCCUGACUCGAUGGGGAAUCUUGUGUCCUUGAAGUUUUUAUUUCUCUCCGAUUCCAACUUUUCAGGACCGCUUCCAAGAUCACUGGGAAACCUCUUUCAACUCAAGUGUUUAGACUUGAGAUCAAACAAAUUGAGUGGACAAAUUCCAUUGUCAAUUCUAAACCUAACGCAGUUGGAAUACUUGGAAAUAUCUGAAAAUUCUUUAGAAGGUUCCAUUCCAGAUGAGGUAACCGCUUUUCCUAAUCUAAUAUAUUUAUACUUAUCUGACAAUUUACUCAGUGGAACACUUCCGUCAUGGUUGUAUACUGCUCCCUCAUUAGACAGUAUAGGUCUCUCUCAAAAUCAAUUCAGUGGGCAUAUCAAAGAAUUCCAAUCCAAAUCACUAGAAUUGAUAGCGUUAGAGAGUAAUAAACUCCAAGGUCCUCUUCCAUCUUCAAAAUUCCAACUUCUCAAUCUUACCCACCUCUCUUUAUCCUCAAGUAAUCUCAGUGGUGUCAUAGAGUUUCGCAUGUUCUCAAACCUUCCAAAUCUAAAACUUCUUGACCUUUCAUACAACAGCCUAUCCUUAGCAUCUAAUACUACUUCUUGUGUUAACCAUAUAUUGCCUAAUCUUACAGACUUACGUUUGUCAUCUUGCAAUCUUAGUGAAUUCCCCCAAUUUUUGAAAGGGCUUAAAAGUUUGAAAAGGUUAGACCUCUCUUGCAACAAAAUUGAAGGCAAGAUUCCACAGUGGAUGCAAGAGGUGGGGAAUGGCUCUUUGACUUACUUAAACGUAUCUCACAACUAUUUGACAGAAGUUGAGCACUUUCCACGGAAGAAUAUUGAAGUUCUUGACUUAAGCUCCAAUUUGAUCAGUGGAAAUCUUCCGAUUCCAGCUUCGACCAUCAAUGUCUUUUUGAUCUCAAAUAAUAGUUUCAAUGGAGAGGUCUCUUCUUUAAUAUGCAAUGCCAGUUAUCUUAAAAUUCUUGAUUUGUCCCACAAUAACUUGAGUGGAACAAUUCCGCAAUGUUUUGGAAAUUUGAGCAACAGCCUUCAAUUCUUGAAUCUGAAGAAGAACAAGUUCUAUGGGACGAUUCCUCCAACAUUUGCAGAGGGAUGCCAAUUGACUAAUUUCAACAUAAAUGGAAAUCUGUUAGAAGGGCCUUUGACACCAUCCAUCCUUAAUUGUAAUGAACUGGAAGUGCUAGAUCUUGGUAACAACAAGAUCAAUGAUACAUUUCCUCAUUGGUUGGGCAGUCUUCCAUUUUUGCAAGUUCUUGUAUUGAAGUCAAAUCAUAUGCAUGGUUCCUUGCGUGUCAAUAGCUCCAAGUCUAGCCCUUUUUUCUCUAAAAUCCAAAUUUUUGAUCUCUCGAGUAAUUAUUUUUCUGGACCUCUACCUGUGAGAUACAUCAACAGCUUCAAGGCUAUCAUAAAUCUAGAUAAGAUUGGGAGUACAAUGUCGUACAUGGGGGUGUAUGCUCAGAGAGGUAGUGGCUUCUAUACCUAUUCCAUUGGAAUUGUUAUGAAAGGACAAGAUAUGGAAUUGGUGAAAAUUUUCACCAUGUGGAUGAUCAUUGAUCUAUCAAACAAUCAGUUUGAAGGGUGUAUUCCAGAGGUUUUUGGGAAGCUUAACUUACUGAAAGGGCUCAACCUUUCUCAUAACAACCUUCAUGGUGGUAUCCCCACCUCAAUAGGGAAUUUGACAAGUCUUGAAUGGUUGGACCUAUCUUCAAACAGGUUGUCUGGGACGAUUCCAAAUAGAUUGGCAGAUCUGGCAUUUCUUUCGUCCUUCAAUGUUUCUGAUAAUCAGCUCCAUGGUCAGAUUCCUCAAGGCAAACAGUUCAACACAUUUGGAAAUGAUUCAUAUGAAGGAAACAAGGGAUUAUGUGGAUUUCCAGUCUCGAAAGGUUGCAACAUCAUUGAGCCACCACCUCCAAAUGUGCUUGAAAAAGAUGGCUCAAAAUCAAACAUUACUUUUGGUUGGAAAGUGGUGUUGAUAGGUUAUGGAUGCGGAGUGGUGUUGGGAAUGUCCGUGGGAUAUGUUGUUUUCCAAACUGGUAAGCCGAAAUGGUUGGUGAAUUUGGUUGAAAUCCAACAUGAGAAGAAGCAAAGACGAAAGUCAAAGAAAGGCAAUCGAAGCAAUAGACGAAGAAGGAUCUAAGUACAGCAAAUGAUGUUCAAGAAUUAGUGUUGUAUUUUCAAAAUUUCUUGUUCUGUAGACCGUUUUGCCCAUGGUGAAGGGUUGCAUUGGUAUGUGUAUGUCUUUAUUAUUGUACCAAUUCCUGUCUUUCAUUGCAUUUCGUACUAUCUGUAAUGGUUUGUUUGAGUGUAACAUUUUGUAUGGUAUUGUUGUUUAUGUCUUCUUUCAUGACUUUCCAUUUAGUCUCGAUAAUCUUUGCUACUGCUCAGUAAAGGAGGAAGGAGAAUAAAAUGUCUCAAUUUAUGUCAAUUUAUGCUUGCAGAUUUGACGUGGAAUGUUGUUGAACUGAAGGUUGUUUAACUUUUGUCUUCUAAGCUAUACAUGAACAUAUGGGAUGUGACAAAUAUUAUUUUAGCUUUUGCUUAUGAAAUGUUGAAAUAGUGAGUUUAUAUUCCUUGAUUAAUAAAAAGUGAGAUGGAGAUAGUCAAACCUCAAUUUCCACAUUGAAAUUGAAUCCAAACAUUAAUUGGUGGAUCACAUGUCUUGUAUUCUGUCAAGUUAAAGGGAGUGAAUAGAGCACCAUUCUUCUUCUGCGUGGAAAAUAAGUUGGCGUUAUGCCAAUUUUCACAUUCAUACAUAUAAAGGAAGCAAGACCAAGUCAAUAUACUUUGUAAUCUCAUCAUUUCUUCUUCAUUCUUUAGGGAGUUCAAAUGAAAUACAAAUUUUUGGUAAAUCAACUCUUCUUUUUUAUGAAUAAAAAUUAUAUGGUAAAAAGGAAGUGGUGUUAAUAAUAAUAAUAAUAAUAAUAAUAACAACAACAAUACAAAACUAAUAAAGCAAUUUAGUCUAUGAUUUGCACAAUGAUUAAUGUAGCGACCUAAAAAUUUAGGCACGAGCGCUAAUUGAAGUGAUUAUUGAAAAUUUGAAAACAGAAUCUCGAUUUUAUUUGAAAAAGGAGUCGCUAUCGAUCUUUUUUUCUAGGUGUGAUCGGACACCUAAUAAAUUCUCUUUUUAGAAGAAAAAUUUAUUUUUAAAUUUUUCUAAAAAUAGGUAAUUUUUCUAAAAAAUUUAGGGGUCAAAAUGUAAUUUUUUAUUUUUUGAAUUUUUUUUGAAAUUUAAAAAAAUAUAUAUAUAUAAACACGACAAAACCCGGACAAAAUUUAGUGCUUACAAUUAAUACCUAAUUUGAUCCUUGAAUUAUAGUUCAAAAAGUAUUUUUAUAUUUUUAAAUUUUCAUAAAAAUAAUUGUAUCAAAAUUUAAAAAUCUUAAAAAUAAAUACAAAUUUUAUAUAAAAAAUCAAUUGGCCCAAGAAAAAAAAUUUACCAACUAAAUUUUCCAUAUCCAAACUCAUAAAUAAUUCUUCUUUGAACUUUCACAAAAAAAUAUUAAAUACCCUUUCACUUUAUCAUUAUAAAUAUAAUAUACAUUUUUUUCCUUCUUUUUCAUGUAGAUCAGCUUCAACUCUACUAUUCUUAGAUCAUUAUAAAUAUAAUAUAUGUUUUAUUUACAGCUGAAAGUAAAACCUUGAGUUGAAAUUUGGCAGAAAAAAUUGUGGGUUUGGAGAAGAAGAAGAGCACUUUGUAUUUAAAUUUAAAAAAUCAAAAAUUUCAAAACUGAAAGUUACUCAAAACCCUAAACAAUCUAAUAAUUGGAGUUAUAGAAAAGAAAUAUGAGUUUAGAAAUAAAUAAAACAAAAUAAAUUUGCAAAACAAUUUCUAGGCAAAACAACAUGAAGUUGUUGAUGUGAUUGAAGGUGUUCUUCAACGGUGGAAAACAAAUAGAAUUUAAUUUGAAAAUUUUAAGAUUUUUUAAAUAAUAAAAAAUUGCAUUAGUUUAAAAACUUUAGUUUUAAUUUUAAGAUAUUUUUAGAUUUAUACAUAUUUAAUUAUUUUUAGAUUUUUUAGAUUUAAAUGAAGUUACAAUUAUUUUUGAAAACGGUACCUCUACAUUUUUGAAGGUACAAGGAAAUAAAAUAUGGAUUUGGUAUCGAUACUUCGGCCCGAGUAUCAAUGCUCGAGGUAAGUUUAUUGAUACCUUGCGAAAGGUACCAAUAAUUUUUUUAUAUUUUGAUAUUUGGUAAGAAACAUAAUGUUAGUUUGGUAUCGAUUUUCCAUGAGAUAUCAAUACCACUUAAAGAAAAUAUCGAUAGCCCUAGGACAGUAUCAAUACCUAUGUAACAGUUUUAGAAAUUUUGCAACUGGGCCCAUUUGUAGGUUUGAUUGAUGUUUUUAAUACCCUUAGUGUAUGUAUGGCAUGUUUUAAUGAUAAGAAGUGGUUGAACGACUACAACUCAUACGUAGGAUUGAAUAAAGAUGAUGAUUGGUUACUUGUGAAAUUGUUUGCUAAGUAAAUGAUGCAUGAUGGUGGUGUAACAUCCUAAUAUUUCGGCUUGGCGACUGAGCCGAGUAUAGGGUGUUACAAUGUGUUCCACAAGUUUCAUCAGCAAUCCUCAAUGCAUCUAAUUAAUUGGGAAAAUUGAGAAAAUAGAAAUGGUCAAGAAGAUGUAACAUGAUGAGUACCUCUUUGCACCGUCAAGAAUUUUAGUAAGUCUCCAAAUUCAUUCAUUAACCCUCCUUCCUGUUAAAUAUUUAUCAUUAAUUUUAUUAAAUUAAAACAUAAAUUUUUAUAAAUCUAAAGUGUAAUUUAUGAGCCGGGUUAUUCAAUCCAAAAAAAAAAAAUCAGCCAAGACUCUUUGGACAAAUUGCUUGAGUAAAACCAGAAAAUGAAUAACAAUUUUGAUGGAUUUUGAUUACAAAUGAAUUGAGGCAUAAUGCCAUUACAUAUACCAUGCAUUCAGCUGGUCAAAAUGAGACAGACAUCACCUAAUCAUCAACCUAACUCCACUAAGUAGCCUUGAAACUUAUGAAAACAUAACUUGCACACAUAGGUACGCUGAUUUAUCAAUCUAUCAGCACCUAAUUACAUCAAACAUGUUACCAACUUAGUUCAAAUCAAACUAAGCAAGAAAACAUUAACUUAAAGUAACAAAAAAUGAACAGCAGCAUGAACUUCAGCUGCAACUGCAUGGCUGGAGCAGCUCUGCUUCUUGUCUGCAUGCCGGCCAACUUCAACAAGAUCUGAGUAAGGCUAAUUUGUCCAGAAGUUGCAUCAUGCAAAACUAUUUAAUGGCUUUUAGGUAGCUUUGUCAACGGCAAAAAAAAUGAGAAAAUUAGUCAAAUUUCUUCCAUUUUUAUCUUUAAAAAUUUGGUUUUGUGCGUCAACAUGAAGUACAUGUGGCACGUACAUGCAAACUGUCUGAUUAUUUAGACAUCUACACUAGUUUUUAAAGGUAAAAAUAGAAGAAAAUUUUAAUAAACAAGACCAAUUAACUCUUUUAUCUAGCAUACAAGAAUUAUUCUAUACAUCUUUCAAUAAAUGGGGAAAAUUACAUCCACACAUUCUCCACAUUUCAGACCUGUAAUUCUAGCCAAUUGGUCACAAGCAUACAUGUCCCAUUUCAAUAUUCAAAGGUCUGCUUUGAUUAUUUUAUUUUGUGUUCUGUUGUCGCCCCAAAAUAGUUCCACUUGGCACAUCUCCAUACAUUUCAAACAUACCAAAAAUCUGCUGGCAAGCAAUACAAGACAAGUUCCAGCCACUUCAACAUUUGGCUCCUGUUCAUUGCCAAAAGAAAAAAAUAAACAUUUUUUAUAUUUAAUUGAAGGUCAAAAACACAUAAAAAGACAACCGGACAGCUAGUAUUUCAUCCAAUCUUCACAACAUGUCUGUGUGCGUGCAGAUCCUUCACUUCCCAGAAGCCUUUAGCGCGUAUUCUAUUAUAAAAUCACAGAUUACUAUUUAAAUGAUAAAUAAAUUAUUUAAAGUAUGAAAAUAUACAUGUUUUUUUUUAUUGGCUUAAGGGCGUAAAAAAUCCUUAAAUUUUUUUUUUAAAAAAGACAAUUAAAUUUCUCCUUUUUUUACACUCAAUUGAGCACUUAAAGUUUUAAAAUGCAUCAAAAAUACUCUCAAACUUCUUCCGAAAAAACAAUUAAAUCCUUAUUUUCUUUCCCACUCAAUUGGGUGCUUGAACUUUUUCAUAAUAUUUUUUUGGGCGAUUUAAUGAACCAUACAAGUUUCAAGGCUAAAAGAGGCAAAAGAAAAAGAAAAAGAAAAAGAAGCUAAAAUGACUUUUUGUUUGUAAAGUCAAAAAAUACCAAAUAAAUCAUUAUGUCUUUUUAGUUUUAAUUUUUUACUUGAUUAAAAGAGAAAUAAUUAACGAAUGAAAAAUAGCUAUUCCUAAAUAAAUUUAUCAGAAUUUAUAACAAAUGAGAUUUUAGAUUUGAAGUAUGAGGUUAUAUAUAUUAUAUAAGUAUACCUGUUUUUAUGGAAUCGGUGGAUUAUAUUUUCGACAGUCUUCUUCCCCAAGCGUAGUGAAUAGAGCACAAUUUUGUUCUUUUGGAUGGAAAAGAAUUUCUACAUUAAUUAGAUUUGGUUGACAGGCAAAUGAAUAGAUACACACAUUUUUUACGUGUUAUUAAGGAAGAAGACUAAGUCAAUCUACUUUGUAAUCUCAUCAAUCUUAAUUUUUUUAGUUGUUUAGGGAGUUCAAAUGAAAUACAAGAUUUUGCUAUAAAAAAAAAAAGCAUCCAAUUUUAAGAAUGAAAAAUAUACGGUAAAAAGAAGACUAAUGGUUGUUGAUGAUUGUGAAAAAUACAAAAAUUAUUUGUUGCCUAUAAAUACCAUUCCUAUCCUUCAUCUUCCUCUACAAACAUAACAUGGCCUCCUAUCUCUUUCUCUGCCUAUUCCUCUUCUUUCCCCAUCUUUAUGCUUCUUUUUCUUCUUCAGGAUCUCACUCCUGCUCUUCGCUAAUCCAGUUCAAGAAUUCUUUUUCCAUCACUCAGACAGAUGUUGCUUCUUCUUAUUGCGAUGAUCAAUCUUAUCCCAAGACAGAUUCAUGGAAGGAGGGUACAGAUUGCUGCUCAUGGGAUGGGGUCACUUGUGACCACCUAAAUGCUCGUGUUAUUGUCCUUGACUUGAGUUGCAGUUGGCUAUAUGGCAACUUCCCUUCCAAUACCACUCUCUUCCUUCUUCCUCACCUUCAAAAACUCAACCUUGCCUACAAUUAUUUUAAUCUUUCCAAAAUUCCAUCCGAGUUCGGUCGGUUUAUAAGCCUAUUCUACCUCAACCUUUCCAAUACAGGGUUUGCAGGAGAAGUCCCAUCCCAAGUCUCCCACCUGUCAAAAUUGGUUUCACUUGAUCUCUCCUGUCGGGCUGAUGCACAAACAAUUGACAAACAUGCUCUGGAGGGACUUGUUCACAACCUAACCGAGGUCAGACAUCUGUUUUUGGAUGGAAUCAACAUGUCUUCUGUUAAUGCUCAUGUCUUCAUGAAUCUAUCCUCUUCUCUAAGGUCUCUCAGUCUUGCUUUUUGUGAUUUGCAAGGAAAAUUCCCAAAAAACAUUUUUGAUUUGCCAAACCUCAAUCUCCUCAACUUGGGAGGCAACCAAAACCUCAAUCUUGAUCCUUUGAAGUUCAAUCGGAGCAGCAAUCUUGAACAUUUGGAUCUGUCGUGGAUGUCCUCCUCUACAGAAAUUGAUUCAGUUGAUAAUCUACAGGCCUUAAAGUACUUAGAUCUAUCAGGAAAUUCUUUCUUUCAAGGAUUGUCUGUCUCAAUCACAAAUUUAUCAUCUUUGGAGUACUUGAUUCUUAGAGGCGCAAAUGUUUUUGGAGGAUUGCCUGACUUGACGGGGAAUCUUGUGUCCUUGAAGUUUUUAGAUCUCUCCCAGUCCAACUUAUCAGGACCGGUUCCAAGAUCACUGGGAACCUCUUGCAACUCACUCAUUUAGACUUGUCGCAGAACCAAUUGAGUGGACAAAUUCCAAGAUUAUUGGGGAACCUCUUUCAACUCACUCAUUUAGACUUGUCGUGGAACCAAUUGAGUGGACAAAUUCCAAGAUCAUUGGGGAACCUCUUGCAACUCACUCAUUUAGAUUUGUCGAUGAACCAAUUGAGUGGACAAAUUCCAAGAUCAUUGGGGAUCAUUGGGGAACAUCUUGCAACUCACUCAUUUACUUGUCGGUGAACCAAUUGAGUGGACAAAUUCCAAGAUCAUUGGGGAACCUCUUGCAACUCACUCAUUUAGACUUGUCGGUGAACCAAUUGAGUGGACAAAUUCCAAGAUCAUUGGGGAACCUCUUGCAACUCACUCAUUUAGACUUAUUGGUGAACCAAUUGAGCGGACAAAUUCCAAGAUCAUUGGGGAACCUCUUGCAACUCACUCAUUUACAGUUGCCGGUGAACCAAUUGAGUGGAAAAAUUCCAAGAUCAUUGGGGAACCUCUUGCAUCUCACUCAUUUACACUUGCCGAUGAACCAAUUGAGUGGACAAAUUCCAUUGUCAAUUCUAAACCUAACGCAGCUGGAAUACUUUGUAAUAUCUAAAAAUUCUUUAGAAGGUUCCAUUCCAGAUGAGGUAACCGCUUUUCCUAAUCUAAUAUAUUUACACUUAAAUGACAAUUUACUCAAUGGAACAUUUCCGUCAUGGUUGUUUACUGCUCCCUCCUUAAAGGAAAUAUAUCUCUCUCAAAAUCAAUUCAGUGGGCAUAUCAAAGAAUUCCAAUCCAAAUCACUAGAAUUGAUAGCGUUACAGAAUAAUAAACUCCAUGGUUCUCUUCCAUCUUCAAUAUUCCAACUUCUCAAUCUUACCGACCUCGUUUUAUCCUCAAAUAAUCUUAGUGGUGUCAUAGAGUUUCGCAUGUUCUCAAACCUUCCAAAUCUAAAACAUCUCGACCUUUCAUAUAACAGCCUAUCCUUAACAUCUAAUACUACUUCUACUGUUAAUCAUAUAUUGCCUAAUCUUACAGGCUUACUUUUGUCAUCUUGCAAUCUUGGUGAAUUCCCCCAAUUUUUAAAAGGGCUUAAAAGUUUGGAAAGCUUAGACCUCUCUUGCAACAAAAUUGAAGGCAAGAUUCCACAGUGGAUGCAAGAGGUGGGGAAUGUCUCUUUGACUUACUUAAACGUAUCUCACAACUCUUUGACGAAGUUGAGCACUUUCCAUGGAAGAAUAUUGAAUUUCUUGACUUAAGCUCCAAUUUGAUCAGUGGAAAUCUUCCGAUUCCAGCUUCGACCAUCAAUGUCUUUUUGAUCUCAAAUAAUAGUUUCAAUGGAGAGGUCUCUUCUUUAAUAUGCAAUGCCAGUUCUCUUCGAAUUCUUGAUUUGUCCCACAAUAACUUGAGUGGAACAAUUCCGCAAUGUUUUGGAAAUUUGAGCAACAGCCUUGAAUUCUUGAAUCUGAAGAAGAACAUGUUUUAUGGGACGAUUCCUCCAACAUUUGCAAAGGGAUGCCAAUGGAGUAAUUUCAACUUAAAUGGAAAUUUGUUAGAAGGGCCUUUGACACCAUCCAUCCUUAAUUGUAAUGGUCUGGAAGUGCUAGAUCUUGGUAACAACAAGAUCAAUGAUACAUUUCCUCAUUGGUUGGGAAAUCUUCCAUAUUUGCAAGUUCUUGUAUUGAAGUUAAAUCAUAUGCAUGAUUCCUUGCGUGUCAAUAGCUCCAAGUCUAGCCCUUUUUUCUCUAAAAUCCAAAUUUUUGACCUCUCAAGUAAUUAUUUUACUGGACCCCUACCAGUGAGAUACAUCAACAGCUUCAAGGCUAUCAUAAAUCUAGAGAAGAUUGGGAGUACAUUGUUGUACAUGGGGGUGUAUGAUCGGAUUGCUAGUGGCUUCUAUACCUAUUCCAUUGGAAUUGUUAUGAAAGGACAAGAUAUGGAAUUGGUGAAAAUUUUCACCAUGUGGAUGAUCAUUGAUCUAUCAAACAAUCAGUUUGAAGGGGGUAUUCCAAAGGUUAUUGGGAAGCUUAACUUACUGAAAGGGCUCAACCUUUCUCAUAAUAACCUUAAUGGUGGUAUCCCCACCUCAACAGGGAAUUUGACAAGUCUUGAAUGGUUAUGUAGUUUUAGAUGUUAAGGAUAGGCUGUUAUAUGAAAGGUCGCGAUGUUUUAGAUUUGGAAGGUUUGAGAACAUGCGAAGCUCUAUGACACCACUAAGAUUAUUUGAGGAUAAGCUGAGGGAGGUAAGAUUGAGAAGUUGGAAUAUUGAAGAUGGAAGAGGACCUUCGAGUUUAUUAUUUUCUAGAUCUAAAUAUUCUAGUGAUUUGGUUUGGAAUUCUUUGAUAUGACGGAAGUGUUCCAUUGAGUAAAUUGUCAAAUAACACUAAAUAUAUUAGAUUCGGAACAGCGGUUACCUCAUCUGGAAUAGAACCUUCUAAAGAAUUUUCAGAUAUUUCCAAGUAUUCCAACUGCGUUAGGUUUAGAAUUGACAAUGGAAUUUGUCCACUCAAUUUGUUUGAUCCCAAGUCUAAAUGAGUGAGUUGCAAGAGGUUUCCAAGUGAUCUUGGACCGGUCCUGAUAAGUUGGAAUCGGAGAGAACUAAAAACUUCAAGGACACAAGAUUCCCCAUCGAGUCAGGCAAUCCUCCAAAAAAAUUUGCGCCUCUAAUAAUCAAGUACUCCAAAGAUGAUAAAUUUGUGAUUGAGGCAGACAAUCCUUGAAAGAAAGAAUUUCCUGAUAGGUCUAGGUACUUUAAGGCCUGUAGAUUAUCAACCGAAUCAAUGAAUUCUGUAGAGAAGGACAUCCACGACAGAUCCAAAUGUUCGAGAUUGCUGCUCCGAUUGAACUUCAAAGUAUCAAGGUUGAGGUUUUGGUUACGUCCCAAGUUGAGGAGAUUGAGGUUUGGCAAAUCAAAAAUGUUUUUUGGGAAUUUUCCUUGCAAAUCACAACCAGCAAGACUGAGAGACCUUAGAGAAGAGGAUAGAUUCAUGAACACAUGAGCAUUAACAGAAGACAUGUUGAUUCCAUCCAAAAACAGGUGUCUGACCUCGGUUAGGUUGUGAACAAGUCCCUCCAGAGCAUAUUUGUCAAUUGUUUGUUCACCAAACACAGAGGAGGAGAGAUCAAGUGAAACCAAUUUUGACAGGUGGGAGACUUGGGAUGGGACUUCUCCUGCAAACCAUGUAUAAGAAAGCUUGUAAACCGACCGAACUCGGACCUAUCUUCAAACAUAUUAAAUACCCAUUCACUUCAAUUCUACUAUUCUUAAAUCAUUAAAGUUUUGUGGAAAAUAUGCUUCUUGGAUAAAAAUUAUUCAACACACAUGCCUUGAAUUUUAUGCAAUAAAAUAAAUCAAUAUAGGCCACACAUGCUUUGAAUUUUUAAGUAGUCCACAAUUUUGUUCGUUUGUGUGCAAGAUUCUACAUUGCUUGACAGCCAUACAUACUAAGUAAAUAGACACCCACAUUGUUUACGUAUUAUGAGGAAGAAGAUUAAGUCAAUCUACUUUGUAAUCUCAUCAAUCUUAAUUUUCUCAGUUGUUUAGGGAGUUCAAAUGAAAUACAAAAUUUUGGAAAAAAAAUGUAUCCAAUUUUGUGAAUGAAAAAUAUAUGGUAAAAAGGAUUUGGUAUGGAUACUUCGGCCCGGGUAUCAAUACUCAGAGUAAGUUAAAGCAUCAGUGGAUGAAGAAGGAUCUGGUUGGUGCAAAUGAAGUUAAAGCAUUUGUGCUGUGUCUUCAUAAUUUCUUGUUUAGUAGUCUGUCAGAAAGUUUUUCCUAUGGUGAAAAGUUGCAUUGGUAUGUGUCUGUUUUUAUGAUUGUACCAAUUCCUCUGUAUUUCAUUGCAUUUCGUACUAUUUGUAAGGGUUUAGUUCGAGUGUAACAUCUUGUAUGGUGCA
rnacentral:lncRNA from 1 species